CACGUAGUUAGCCGUGACUUUCUCACAGGGUACCGUCACUGUCUUCUUCCCCGUGCGACAACAGUUUACAAUCCGAAGACCUUCUUCCUGCACGCGGCGUUGCUGCGUCAGGGUUCCCCCCAUUGCGCAAUAUUCCCCACUGCUGCCUCCCGUAGGAGUCUGGGCCGUGUCUCAGUCCCAAUGCGGCCGAUCAACCUCUCAGUUCGGCUACAGAUCGUCGCCUUGGUGAGCCGUUACCUCACCAACCAGCUAAUCUGACGCGAGUCCAUCCAUAAGCGAUAAAUCUUUCAAAUAUCUACCAUGCGGUAAAUAUUCAAUAUGCGGUAUUAGUCCACGUUUCCAUGGAUUAUCCCCCUCUUAUGGGCAGGUUACUCACGCGUUACUCGCCCGUCCGCCACGUUUCCUCUUAAAACGUUCACCCCGAACGGGAUCACACAUAAGAUUCUCGUUCGACUUGCAUGUGUUAGGCACGCCGCCAGCGUCGUCUCGAGCCGACGACGUCGAAACUACUA
rnacentral:rRNA from 1 species